CAAUAGCGUAUAUUAAAGUUGUUGCAGUAAAAAAGCUCGUAGUUGGAUUUCUGGUGGGAGCGAUCGGUCUGGCGCUUAGCGCGAGUACUUGCAUCGUCUCCGGCCAUCCUUGGGGAGAGUCUGUCUGGCAUUAGGUUGUCGGGCAGAGGAUCCUCAUCGUUUACUGUGAAAAAAUUAGAGUGUUCAAAGCAGGCUUAUGCCGUUGAAUAUAUUAGCAUGGAAUAAUAAGAUAGGACUUUGGUACUAUUUUGUUGGUUUGCGCACCAAAGUAAUGAUUAAUAGGGACAGUUGGGGGUAUUCGUAUUCCGUUGUCAGAGGUGAAAUUCUUGGAUUUACGGAAGACGAACUACUGCGAAAGCAUUUACCAAGGAUGUUUUCAUUAA
rnacentral:rRNA from 1 species